AACCGUGGAAUGGUCCCCACACCUAGUGCCCAACGUUUACGGCAUGGACUACCAGGGUAUCUAAUCCUGUUCGCUCCCCAUGCUUUCGCUCCUCAGCGUCAGUUACAGCCCAGAGACCUGCCUUCGCCAUCGGUGUUCCUCCUGAUAUCUGCGCAUUCCACCGCUACACCAGGAAUUCCAGUCUCCCCUACUGCACUCUAGUCUGCCCGUACCCACCGCAGAUCCGGGGUUAAGCCCCGGACUUUCACGACAGACGCGACAAACCGCCUACGAGCUCUUUACGCCCAAUAAUUCCGGAUAACGCUCGCACCCUACGUAUUACCGCGGCUGCUGGCACGUAUUAGCCGGUGCUUCUUCUGCAGGUACCGUCACUUUCGCUUCUUCCCUACUGAAAGAGGUUUACAACCCGAAGCCGUCAUCCCUCACGCGGCGUCGCUGCAUCAGGCUUUCGCCCAUUGUGCAAUAUUCCCCACUGCUGCCUCCCGUAGGAGUCUGGGCCGUGUCUCAGUCCCAGUGUGGCCGGUCACCCUCUCAGGCCGGCUACCCGUCGUCGCCUUGGUGAGCCAUUACCUCACCAACAAGCUGAUAGGCCGCGAGUCCAUCCAUGACCGAUAAAUCUUUCCAACAACCACCAUGCGGUGGACGUUCCUAUCCGGUAUUAGACCCAGUUUCCCAGGCUUAUCCCAGAGUCAAGGGCAGG
rnacentral:rRNA from 1 species